CAUUGGNUCAACCAAUGUAUGCUUUGGAAACUGUUAGACUUGAGUGCAGAAGGGGAGAGUGGAAUUCCAUGUGUAGCGGUGAAAUGCGUAGAUAUAUGGAGGAACACCGGUGGCGAAAGCGGCUCUCUGNUCUGUCACUGACGCUGAGGCUCGAAAGCGUGGGUAGCGAACAGGAUUAGAUACCNUGGUAGUCCACGCCGUAAACGCUGAGUGCUAGGUGUUAGGUCCUUUCCGGGACUUAGUGCCGACGCUAACGCAUUAAGCACUCCGCCUGGGGAGUACGACCGCAAGGUUGAAACUCAAAGGAAUUGACGGGGGCCCGCACAAGCGGUGGAGCAUGUGGUUUAAUUCGAAGCAACGCGAAGAACCUUACCAGGUCUUGACAUCCCGAUGCCCGCUCUAGAGAUAGAGUUUUUCUUCGGAACAUCGGAGACAGGUGGUGCAUGGUUGUCGUCAGCUCGUGUCGUGAGAUGUUGGGUUAAGUCCCGCAACGAGCGCAACCCUUAUUGUUAGUUGCCAUCAUUAAGUUGGGCACCCUAGCGAGACUGCCGGUAAUAAACCGGAGGAAGGUGGGGAUGACGUCAAAUCAUCAUGCCCCUUAUGACCUGGGCUACACACGUGCUACAAUGGUUGGUACAACGAGUCGCAAGCCGGUGACGGCAAGCUAAUCUCUGAAAGCCAAUCUCAGUUCGGAUUGUAGGCUGCAACUCGCCUGCAUGAAGUCGGAAUCGCUAGUAAUCGCGGAUCAGCACGCCGCGGUGAAUACGUUCCCGGGCCUUGUACACACCGC
rnacentral:rRNA from 1 species